rnacentral:tRNA from 1 species
GUUAUUUUGGCAGAUUAGUGCGUUAGAUUUAGGAUCUUUUUAUGUAGAUUACUUACAAAUAAUA